rnacentral:rRNA from 1 species
GUCUACGGCCAUACCACCGUGAACGUGCCGGAUCUCGUCUGAUCUCGGAAGCUAAGCAGGGUGGGGCCUGGUUAGUACUUGGAUGGGAGAAAUAGUCUGGGUUCUAACUACCUGAAGCCA